rnacentral:tmRNA from 1 species
GGGGUCGUUACGGAUUCGACAGGCAUUAUGAGAUAUAUUUUGCGACUCAUCGGAAGAUGUAAAAUUCCAGUUAAAUAUAACUGCAAAAAAUACAAAUUCUUACGCAUUAGCUGCUUAAUAACCAGCCUGCGUGACUUUUGAGAAUAGCUUGCGAUUCUUUAAAAGUCUUUAUUAUUAGCAAGAUACAUUUAAUCAUUGUCUAGCUGAUUAAAGAGAGAUUUAUAGGCUCGCUAUUAUUGAUUUUGAGUUAUGUGAUGAAUAAUAGUUAAAUUAAGACAUAACCUAUGGUUGUAGACGAAUAUAUUGGCAGAUGUUUGGACGUGGGUUCGACUCCCACCGGCUCCAUUU